rnacentral:tRNA from 1 species
GUUCUUAUAGUUGAGUUGACAACAGUGGUUUUUCAGAUCACAGGCCUUGGAGAGAAGCCAAGUAGGAAUU